CGGUAUAGCUCAGUUGGUAGAGCAUCUGAUUUGUAAUCAGAGGGUCGGGAGUUCAAGUCUCUCUGCCGGC
rnacentral:tRNA from 1 species